rnacentral:rRNA from 1 species
GAUGAACGCUGGCGGCGUGCCUAAUACAUGCAAGUCGAGCGAACAGACGAGGAGCUUGCUCCUCUGACGUUAGCGGCGGACGGGUGAGUAACACGUGGAUAACCUACCUCUAAGACUGGGAUAACUUCGGGAAACCGGAGCUAAUACCGGAUAAUAUAUUGAACCGCAUGGUUCAAUAGUGAAAGACGGUUUUGCUGUCACUUAUAGAUGGAUCCGCGCCGCAUUAGCUAGUUGGUAAGGUAACGGCUUACCAAGGCAACGAUGCGUAGCCGACCUGAGAGGGGGAUCGGCCACACUGGAACUGGGACGCGGUCCAGGCACCUACGGGAGGCAGCAGUAAGGAAGCUUCCGAAAUGGGCGAAAGCCUGACGGAGCAACGCCGCGUGAGUGAUGAAGGUCUGCGGAUCGUAAAACUCUGUUAUUAGGGAAGAACAAAUGUGUAAGUAACUAUGCACGUCUUGACGGUACCUAAUCAGAAAGCCACGGCUAACUACGUG